UACGGAGGGUGCAAACGUUGCUCGGAAUCAUUGGGCGUAAAGCGCACGUAGGCGGCCUGUUAAGUCGGGUGUGAAAGCCCUGGGCUCAACCCAGGAAGUGCACUCGAAACUGGCAGGCUUGAAUAUGGAAGAGGGUCGCGGAAUUCCCGGUGUAGAGGUGAAAUUCGUAGAUAUCGGGAGGAACACCAGUGGCGAAGGCGGCCAUCUGGACGGUAACUGACGCUGAGACGCGAAAGCGUGGGUAGCAAACAGG
rnacentral:rRNA from 1 species